UUCUGUUUUGGUCUCUUUUUCUUUCUUAGAUCACACACCCAUGAGAAAGCCAAAUGCCAUGUUGUAAGGAGAGGCCCAUGUGGUGAGGAACUGAAGCCUCCUGCCAGCAGCCACAUGAAGGAUAAAUUUCAUAUUUAAACUAAUCUGUUCCCCCAAAAUGGUAACAGUCCAACACUGGCCAAGCUGAUUCAGACAGCACAGCUUCCCGGGCUCUGCGGGGCUGGACCAAAGAGAAGAGUCCUCCGCGGGUGCUAGAAGAGCGAAGCACGU
rnacentral:lncRNA from 1 species